UUCAGGUUUACUUGUUUUUUCUUUUUUUAAACUCAUGUUUUUUUAUUUUUAUCUUUCAAUAUUUAUUUAAUUAGAGAUUGAAUUUUGUUAUUUUUUUAUUUGCUUUCUAUAAGAUUUUUCAUUGAUUUUGAAAAUGAUCCCAGCUAUAUCAAAUUUUUUUAUUUGCUGUUCUUUAUUAAAUUUAGCUUUUCAAAAUAAAUUUGUGAGAGUAAUUAUUCACGAAUUUUAAUCUAAUUUUAAU
rnacentral:lncRNA from 1 species